GAGGGAGGGAGGGAGUCCAGAGGCCGGGGGAACGUGCGAGCAGAGGCGCGGCCACCGCAUCCGUGGCCAGGAUCUCGUGGCCCGCCGAGACGGUCGAAUUGUGGAGGCAGCCCGCAGCGGCGUGGCCUUCAGAGUCUCUGCAUUUGGUGAAGAACUUAAGUUUUCAAUGUGAGUGCUCAUAAGAACAUUUCCUUUGCCUGCCAGCCCAGUAAAGGAUAGAGAACAAAAUGUUUUCUUAGCAAUCAAAACAUGUUCUUUCCUUUGGUCCCCUACCAAAUAAGUCUGACUUGCCGGCUCAUAGUAGUAUUGCUUGUACCAAGACGCACAGGACUCAUAAACCAAAGAUGAAGAUGUGACCCCCCCAAGGCCCUUGUCGUCAAGGAAUUUAUUGCCUGUUCAGUGAGAUGAAUGAAUGAAUAUCACUAUUAAUUUUACCAAGCACUUAAAAAACAUUUUCUGCACCCAUGAAAGUUAUGCAAAAUAGUUUGGAUGAUAAAAUGAUGACGAAGAUAAAUAUUCUAGCACCCAAGUUAAGGGUGUAAAGACAGUAUCGCACUGGCCUCUUCUACCUUAUUAGGCGACACUGGAGACAUCUACGUCUACAGUCACUUGAGAAAUUUUUUACCUACGGGUUGAAUUUGAAUUUCUGGGUGUUCGCUUUGGUUUAUGAUAUUCAACUUUUAUUCAGGGGAUUUCCAAAUAGAUCAGGGGCGGGGCUGCUGACCUAAGGAGAGGAGAAAGUUUUGAGAGAAGUUUUAGUAGAUCACAGCUGUGCAUCAGUGGAGUCCCACUGAUACUAGGGGAGAAAUAGACAGUGCUGGGAAUGGGGCAAUCCUGCCAGGUGUUUUUGAUGUUAUGCCUACAGAAAAUAAAUUUGCGUUAGCCAUAUGAAUUUAAGAAUGUUUUCAUUAAAAAUCAAGUAUAGGCCAGGCGCGGUGGCUCACGCCUAUACUCCCAGCACUUUGGGAGGCCGAGGCGGGCGGAUCCCGAGGUCAGGAGAUCGAGACCAUCCUGGCUAACACGGUGAAACUCUGUCUCCACUAAAAAUAAAAAAAAAUUAGCCAGGCUUGGUGGCGGGCGCCUGUAGUCCCAGCUACUCGGGAAGCUGAGGCAGGAGAAUGGCGUCAACCCAGGAGGCGGAGCUUGCAGUGAGCCCAGAUCGCGCCACUGCACUCCAGCCUGGGCGACAAAGCGAGACUCCGUCUCGGAAAAAAAAAAAAAAAAAUCAAGCAUUGUGUGUAAAAGCUUCUAUAAAAGUGGCUUCCGGGUGGCGCUCUCUGCAGGGCCACAGCCUCAGUUUGGAGACUAGAUGGAGGAUGUUAGGUGUUCUGGCUAGGCCCAUCAACCUAGUAACAUUUCCUCCUGCACAGUAAAACCUUUCAUAAUGCUUCUGGGGUUUUUUGUUUGUUUGAAAAACAGAAAUUAGAAAUCAAAUAUUUUAUUUGAAAUUAGACAUUUCAGUGACUUUUUUCCACUCUUACUUUUAAUUAAAAGAAAAAGCUAUAAAUGCACAAAUUACUUGUUUAAACGAAAUAAAGGAAAAAGUGUAUUGGCUUCUCUUUUUAUGCAAUUCAAGAAUCCAGCCAUUUAUUCACAUUCUUCUCCCUCUUCAGUUAAAUAAGACAUCACAGAUAGAGCCUAACAUUGUGUCUGGCACGUGGCCGGUAGGCAUUUGGGAAAUAUUACCCUGCU
rnacentral:lncRNA from 1 species